UACGAAGGGGGCUAGCGUUGCUCGGAAUUACUGGGCGUAAAGCGCACGUAGGCGGCUCUUUAAGUCGGGGGUGAAAUCCUGGAGCUCAACUCCAGAACUGCCUUCGAUACUGUAGAGCUUGAGUUCGGGAGAGGUGAGUGGAACUGCGAGUGUAGAGGUGAAAUUCGUAGAUAUUCGCAAGAACACCAGUGGCGAAGGCGGCUCACUGGCCCGAUACUGACGCUGAGGAGCGAAAGCGUGGGGAGCGAACAGG
rnacentral:rRNA from 1 species